rnacentral:tRNA from 1 species
UGGGAGAUCGUCUAAUGGUAAGACUGCGGACUCUGGAUCCGCCUAUCGGGGUUCGACUCCCUGUCUCCCAG